rnacentral:sRNA from 1 species
GUAAUGGUGCUGAGAAUCAUGCCUUGAAAUCUAGCAGCUGUGUUAAAAACGGAGCAAGGUGUACUUCGGGGUUAUGUUGAGAAGGCUGGUGUUCAGCUAAAUCAGGAGGGAAGGCCAAGGAAAAUCAGGCUUGGCACCUGUCAACAGCUUGUUUUCAUUUCCUUUCCAAUUUAAGAAUGUGUUUAACAUUCUAUCCCAGACAAUAUGAUGGUCAUGAAGUCUCUGUCAGAGAGGAAAGAGGGAGUUAAUCUAUAAUGAAGAUCAACAGUGAAGAGGAAAGGGGUCUUCCCUGGAACCCUUCAGUCAUAUACGACAUUUUACACAACAAUAAUGGACCUGUGUAAGGAGAUAUGUGUGGGAGAAGAUUCCAGAAGGUCUUGAGACACUCCAGAUGAAGGUUGGUGUGGGGCUGUGCUGCUGGAGCACCAGAGAGUGAAAAGAGGGUAUCUCCCUCUGUGCUAGGCCAGAGUGCAGUGGUGCAAUCAUGGCUCACUGUAGUCUCAACCUCCUGGGUUCAAGAGAUCCUCCCACUUCAGCCUCCCAAGUAGCUAGGACUACAGUUAUUUUAUUCUUAUGAGCUUGUGGGCUCCAUCUACCCAACCUCUGGGCAAAUGCUCUUCUGACUUCCAUAGACACACAGCAAGCAGACAACCACACAAAGAGGAAGAGGGAGAAUAUUUACCAGCCAUGGAACAUCUGCUGUGUGCUUAUAUCUCAUAUGCAUUAUCUCUAAUUAUCAAAAGAAGGUAUGUCCUUAACCUUGGCACAACAAAUCUCUAAAUCGAUUGAGACCUGUCUCAGAUACUUUUUGGUUUAUAAGAUGGGGGCUGAAAUUAAAGAGAAAGCUCCUCACUCAGCUCACAAAGGAGCAGAAUGGGAAGAGGACUUAGUGAGAAUUCCCUGAACACAGGAGAAAACCGAAGCCCAGAGAGUGGAUGGCCAAGUCCAAGGCCACAUAGCCAAGUGCAUCUGAGCAGCGCAGGAUCCAGGUUUCCUGCCCCAGUGCUGUUUCUGCAGCCCGUGCCACCUGUUUUCAUACUAUCUCGGUUCACCAUCCAGCUACACACCUGCAAUCAGAAACAGAAAGUCUGAGAGUGUGUGUGGAGCCAAAGAGGGGACAGCAGUGGUUAGAAGCAAGGCACAAGUCAUACCUACAUUCAAGGAGAGGAGACCAUGCAAAGGAUAAACUUCAGAGAGACAACAGAUUUACAUCCCAGACACAUUCACACUGGGCAAAGAGCAGCUGCCAUUGCAGAUUUGAGUCACGUCCUUUUUUCCCUCCUUCUCCUUCUUGGAGUUACAGCAGAAGCUGGGGAGGUGAGAGUGCAGGACAUGGAUGAAGCAGAGAGGCAUGUGCCUGUCUCAUUCGCCUCUGGAUCUGCUGCAUCCAGGACCAUGUCAGCACAAAGUGGGAGCCCGAUAAAUAUUUAUUGAAGAAAUGAAAGGUGACAAAAGGCAGAAGGAGGGAGACCCCCAAAAGAGGUAAAUUUGGUAUCUUAGUAAGUGGGUGACUACCACUCUCUGGGGGAAAGCUGAUACACGAGGACUUGACAAU